rnacentral:rRNA from 1 species
ACUGCAUGAAGCCGGAAUCGCUAGUAAUCGCGGAUCAGAAUGCCGCGGUGAAUACGUUCCCGGGUCUUGUACACACCGCCCGUCACACCAUGGGAGUCGGAAAUGCCCGAAGCCGGUGGCCUAACCGAUAAGGGAGGAGCCGUCGAAGGCAGGUCUGAUGACUGGGGUGAAGUCGUAACAAGGUAAC